UACGUAGGGAGCGAGCGUUGUCCGGAAUCAUUGGGCGUAAAGAGCUCGUAGGCGGCUUGGUAAGUCGGAUGUGAAACCUCCAGGCUCAACCUGGAGUCGCCAUCCGAUACUGCCAUAGCUAGAGUCCGGUAGGGGCCCACGGAACUCCUGGUGUGAGCGGUGAAAUGCGCAGAUAUCAGGAAGAACACCGGUGGCGAAGGCGGUGGGCUGGGCCGGCACUGACGCUGGAGACGCGAAAGCCAGGGGAGCGAACGGG
rnacentral:rRNA from 1 species